GGCGGACGGGUGAGUAACACGUGGGUAACCUGCCUGUAAGACUGGGAUAACUCCGGGAAACCGGGGCUAAUACCGGAUGGUUGUUUGAACCGCAUGGUUCAAACAUAAAAGGUGGCUUCGGCUACCACUUACAGAUGGACCCGCGGCGCAUUAGCUAGUUGGUGAGGUAACGGCUCACCAAGGCAACGAUGCGUAGCCGACCUGAGAGGGUGAUCGGCCACACUGGGACUGAGACACGGCCCAGACUCCUACGGGAGGCAGCAGUAGGGAAUCUUCCGCAAUGGACGAAAGUCUGACGGAGCAACGCCGCGUGAGUGAUGAAGGUUUUCGGAUCGUAAAGCUCUGUUGUUAGGGAAGAACAAGUACCGUUCGAAUAGGGCGGUACCUUGACGGUACCUAACCAGAAAGCCACGGCUAACUACGUGCCAGCAGCCGCGGUAAUACGUAGGUGGCAAGCGUUGUCCGGAAUUAUUGGGCGUAAAGGGCUCGCAGGCGGUUUCUUAAGUCUGAUGUGAAAGCCCCCGGCUCAACCGGGGAGGGUCAUUGGAAACUGGGGAACUUGAGUGCAGAAGAGGAGAGUGGAAUUCCACGUGUAGCGGUGAAAUGCGUAGAGAUGUGGAGGAACACCAGUGGCGAAGGCGACUCUCUGGUCUGUAACUGACGCUGAGGAGCGAAAGCGUGGGGAGCGAACAGGAUUAGAUACCCUGGUAGUCCACGCCGUAAACGAUGAGUGCUAAGUGUUAUGGGGUUUCCGCCCCUUAGUGCUGCAGCUAA
rnacentral:rRNA from 1 species